rnacentral:rRNA from 1 species
UUUUUUAAAAACAUUUCUUUUUAAUAAAAAUAAUAAGUAGACUCUGCCCAAUGAUAAUUUUAAUGGCUGCAGUAUAUUAACUGUACAAAGGUAGCAUAAUAAUUUGAUUUUUAAAUGAAAUCUUGAAUGAAAGAGGUGAUGAAAUAUAUACUUUAUUAAUUUAAAAUUUUGAAUUUAAAUUUAAAGUAAAAAUGCUUUAAUGAAUUUAAGGGACGAGAAGACCCUAUAGAAUUUUAUAUAAUUUAAAUUAAUAGUGUAAUAUAAAAUAAUUUAAAUAAUAUUUAUUUGGGAGGAAUAUUAAAUUAAAAAACUUUAAUAAUUUAAUACAUAUAUUAAUGAAUUUUUAAGAUUUUAUUAUUUAAUUUUAAGAUUAAAUUACCUUAGGGAUAACAGCGUAAUAUUUUUUUAUAGUUCUUAUUGAAAAAAAUGUUUGCGACCCAUU